GGGACACGUGGUAUCCUGUCUGAAUAUGGGGGGACCAUCCUCCAAGGCUAAAUACUCCUGACUGACCGAUAGUGAACCAGUACCGUGAGGGAAAGGCGAAAAGAACCCCGGCGAGGGGAGUGAAAAAGAACCUGAAACCGUGUACGUACAAGCAGUGGGAGCCUCUUUAUGGGGUGACUGCGUACCUUUUGUAUAAUGGGUCAGCGACUUAUAUUCUGUAGCAAGGUUAACCGAAUAGGGGAGCCGAAGGGAAACCGAGUCUUAACUGGGCGUUAAGUUGCAGGGUAUAGACCCGAAACCCGGUGAUCUAGCCAUGGGCAGGUUGAAGGUUGGGUAACACUAACUGGAGGACCGAACCGACUAAUGUUGAAAAAUUAGCGGAUGACUUGUGGCUGGGGGUGAAAGGCCAAUCAAACCGGGAGAUAGCUGGUUCUCCCCGAAAGCUAUUUAGG
rnacentral:rRNA from 1 species